GCUGAAGCAAUGUCCUUAGAAUCAUGAUGCUGCUGUAAGUCAGCAAGUAAUAUCUAUAGUGUUUUGUCUCCUAGCUCAGAUCCCAGCAUCCAAGAGACAAAGGAAUGGAAAUGGGAAUGCCUCCAUUCAUUCUAAUCCUGAAAUUUUUAUCCUACCCCAGUGACUUGGAAUUCUGAAAGCUGGAAGACUUAGUCCCAGGGCCCAGGAAUGGUUCUGUGCAGCUGGUCUUCACAGCGGGUCUUGGGAUACGUGAGUUUCUCAGUCCCCAAACUGAAUAAGGAAUAGUGGCCAUGGGGCAGAGGCAGGAAACACUAAGCCAGUUAAGUUCCCUGCAACUGAUCACAAUAGCUGAAGUCAGAAUGGUGAGAGCAAGACGCAGAUGGCAAGCAGUCCUCAUGGGUGCCCUGCUGCACACCCAUCUAAUCUUUGUCUGUGGGUGUUCAGACUUCCAACAACUUCAGAUGUUCACCAGAAACACAGACGGUGUCCUGGCUGGUUUUGUGUGUGUGUGUCAACUUGACACAAGCUGAAGUCCUCAGAGAGGAAGGAGCCUCAGUCGAGAAAAGGCCUCCAUGAGAUCCAGCUAUAAGGCAUUUUUUUCAAUUAGUGAUCAAUGAGGAAGGACCCAUGGUGGAUGGUGCCAUCCCUUGACGGGUGGUCCUGGAUUCUACAAGAGAGCAAGCUGAGCAAGCCAGGAGAAGCAAGCCAGUGAGCAGCAUCCCUCCAUAGCCUCUCCAUCAACUCCUGCCUCCAGGCUUCCAGAUUGCCAUCUAGGAACCCUGCUUGAGUUCCUGGUCUGACUCUAAUCUGGAAGUGUAGGCCAAAUAAACCCCUUUCUUCCCCAGCUUGCUUUGGUCA
rnacentral:lncRNA from 1 species